rnacentral:tRNA from 1 species
GUGAGGGUGAGCUAGCUCGGUUAUGCUUGAAGACUGUGGAUUUUCAAACCCGGGUUCAAAACAACCGAUGCUCCGUUGACGCGCAUUCUACGUUCGCAUCUUCGAUGCGAAGUAGAUUAUCUUUAUCUGAUGUAUUUGCGCUAGGGGUUCGGUUGGGAAUUUCCCGGCCCUCGCC